GACGAACGCUGGCGGCGUGCCUAAUACAUGCAAGUCGAACGCAGUGGGGACGGGCGAGUAACACGUGGGUAACCUCCCAUCAGAGGGGAUAACACUUGGAAACAGGUGCUAAACCGAUACUGAUGGAUGGACCCGCGGUGCAUUAGCUGGUUGGUGUGGUAACGGCUCACCAAGGCCACGGUGCAUAGCCGACCAGAGAGGGUGAACGAGAAUGCUGGGAAUGAGCCACGGCCAAGAGUCCAACGUGAGGCAGCAGUAGGGAAUCUUCGGCAAUGGACGAAAGUCUGACCGAGAAACGCCGCGUGAGUGAAGAAGGUUUUCGGAUCGUAAAACUCUGUUGUUAGAGAAGCGGGAUCUAACCAGAAAGCAACGGCUAACUACGUGCCAGCAGCCGCGGUAAUUC
rnacentral:rRNA from 1 species